UACAGAGGUCUCAAGCGUUGUUCGGAUUCAUUGGGCGUAAAGGGUGCGUAGGCGGCGCGGUAAGUCGGGUGUGAAAUCUCGGAGCUUAACUCCGAAACUGCAUUCGAUACUGGCGUGCUUGAGGACUGGAGAGGAGACUGGAAUUUACGGUGUAGCGGUGAAAUGCGUAGAUAUCGUAAGGAAGACCAGUGGCGAAGGCGGGUCUCUGGACAGUUCCUGACGCUGAGGCACGAAGGCCAGGGGAGCAAACGGG
rnacentral:rRNA from 1 species